UACGAAGGGGGCUAGCGUUGCUCGGAAUUACUGGGCGUAAAGCGCACGUAGGCGGUCUGUCGCGUCGGCUGUGAAAACCCGGAGCUCAACUCCGGGCCUGCAGUCGAUACGGGCAAACUAGAGUACUGCAGGGGAGACUGGAAUUCCUGGUGUAGCGGUGAAAUGCGCAGAUAUCAGGAGGAACACCGGUGGCGAAGGCGGGUCUCUGGGCAGUAACUGACGCUGAGGAGCGAAAGCGUGGGGAGCGAACAGG
rnacentral:rRNA from 1 species